rnacentral:rRNA from 1 species
GAUGAACGCUGGCGGCGUGCCUAAUACAUGCAAGUCGAGCGAACAGACGAGGAGCUUGCUCCUCUGACGUUAGCGGCGGACGGGUGAGUAACACGUGGAUAACCUACCUAUAAGACUGGGAUAACUUCGGGAAACCGGAGCUAAUACCGGAUAACAUGUUGAACCGCAUGGUUCAACAGUGAAAGACGGUUUUGCUGUCACUUAUAGAUGGAUCCGCGUCGCAUUAGCUAGUUGGUAAGGUAACGGCUUACCAAGGCAACGACGCGUAGCCGACCUGAGAGGGUGAUCGGCCACACUGGAACUGAGACACGGUCCAGACUCCUACGGGAGGCAGCAGUAGGGAAUCUUCCGCAAUGGGCGAAAGCCUGACGGAGCAACGCCGCGUGAGUGAAGAAGGUCUUCGGAUCGUAAAACUCUGUUAUUAGGGAAGAACAAAUGUGUAAGUAACUAUGCACGUCUUGACGGUACCUAAUCAGAAAGCCACGGCUAACUACGUG